UAGUCCACGCCGUAAACGAUGGAUACUAGGUGUCCGGGAAGUUAACCUCCUGGGUACUACAGCUAACGCGUUAAGUAUCCCGCCUGGGGAGUACGGUCGCAAGGCUAAAACUCAAUGGAAUUGACGGGGGCCCGCACAAGCGGUGGAGUAUGUGGUUUAAUUCGAAGCAACGCGCAGAACCUUACCUACCCUUAACAUUUCACGCUCGCCUCAGAGAUGAGGUUUUCUCUUCGGAGACGUGAGGAUAGGUGCUACAUGGCUGUCGUCAGCUCGUGUCGUAAGAUGUCUGGUUAAGUCCAAUAACGAGCGCAACCCUUAUCCUUAGUUACCAGCAUUGAGUUGGGGACUCUAGGGAGACUGCCGGUGUUAAACCGGAGGAAGGCGGGGAUGACGUCAAGUCCUCAUGGCCCUUACGGGUAGGGCUACACACGUACUACAAUGGCCGUGACAAAGAGUUGCUACUUUGUGAAAACAAGUUAAUCUCAUAAACGCGGCCUCAGUUCGGAUUGCAGGCUGGAACUCGCCUGCA
rnacentral:rRNA from 1 species